AGUGAACGCUGGCGGUAGGCCUAACACAUGCCAGUCGAACGGCAGCGCAGUAAGAGCUUGCUCUUACGGGUGGCGAGUGGCGGACGGGUGAGGAAUACAUCGGAAUCUACUUUUUCGUGGGGGAUAACGUAGGGAAACUUACGCUAAUACCGCAUACGACCUACGGGUGAAAGCAGGGGAUCUUCGGACCUUGCGCGAUUGAAUGAGCCGAUGUCGGAUUAGCUAGUUGGCGGGGUAAAGGCCCACCAAGGCGACGAUCCGUAGCUGGUCUGAGAGGAUGAUCAGACACACUGGAACUGAGACACGGUCCAGACUCCUACGGGAGGAAGCAGUGGGGAAUAUUGGACAAUGGGCGCAAGCCUGAUCCAGCCAUACCGCGUGGGUGAAGAAGGCCUUCGGGUUGUAAAGCCCUUUUGUUGGGAAAGAAAAGCAGCAGGUUAAUACCCCGCUGUUCUGGCGGUACCCAAAGAAUAAGCACCGGCUAACUUCGUG
rnacentral:rRNA from 1 species